GGAUUUUGUUCUUCAACAAGACCAGUAGAUCUAAGAACUCUGAGAUUUUUUUAAACAUAAAUUCAUUCAACAAAUAUUUAUCGAACAUGUCUUAGGUAUCAAACAUUUUCUAAAAGCUACAGACACAGAAAUGAACAGAAGAAAGAAUACUCCCUACCCUCACGGAGCUUGCCUUUUAGUGAAGGGAGUCAGGGAGAAGUGACUAAUAAACAGACAUGGAGUCUCUGGUUAUACUUCUUUUGUAUAAGUGCUCAGUUCCCGGCUAGUUAACUUGCUGGCGGACAUGUGGCUGGUGGAAAGGACUUCUUGGAGACACGCGAGCUGGAUAAUUCUUUGUUUAGGUGGCCUGUCUUCUGCAAGGUUGAUUUGGAUGCUAGUCUCCUUGAUGAAAGGCAACCAUAAUACUUAGGAGCAACAAAA